GCUCAGCGAUUUUAGCUGGAGUUGACAAGUCACCUUUUACUGUCUCUAUCUCAUUUCAAGACCUCUCUUGAGGUAGACCAGCUUUGAAGCCUCUUUAUUUUCUCAAGAAUCCUGCAUGUAACUUCCACUGAAGUUCUCGGGAUUUGGCCUUUCAGUCUUCAGAAAAAAUAAAUCAUAGAAACGAUACCUCUGUCUUCAAGCAUUGCCAUGAAUUUUGGAUUGUCAGCUGAAAACUCAAACAGAAAACCAGCAGUUGCAGCUUUCAAAAGUUAGAGAGACUAGAGCUUUCAUUUCACAAAUAGUCAAUGUAAGCAGAGCAUCACGCAGACAAAAAAAGACUGUAAAACAUUUACCAAAAGGAAAAGAAGAUAUCUAAGGUCCAGAGGCAAUAUUUCAUUGAAGGAAGAACCAGAUGAAAAAAGAAAAUAAGAAAUCAGGAAGGAAUCCAUUCCAUUCCAAAAGCAAGGGGUUUUUGUCCUCUUUAACUUUAGUGAAGACAGCAUCAUUACGUUGGAACAUGCAACACACACCUUUUUCUGGAGGACUUCCAGCUAGAUUAUCUGAAGAUUUUUGAAAUUUAAUUUAAAUUAAUGACUGUGUGAGUAAAGAAAACUCAGGUUCAAUA